rnacentral:misc_RNA from 1 species
CCUAUCAACCAUUGCAUCUGAUAAGAAAACUGAAAAAUCAACUGAUGUUGUUAAGCUGCAAUUAUCCUCCGUUGACAGAAGACUCCCUGUUAUUGUUUUGCAUUGGUCUGCAGACAGUUCACACAAUGAUUCCUGUGGUCGGCUCUUUGUCUAUGGUGGAGAUGCAAUUGGGUCUGAAGAAGCUCUAACGAUUUUGAGCAUUGAUUGGUCUUCUGGGAUUGAAACUUUUAAGUGCAAUGGGCGUAUAGAUCUUACUCUUAAUGGUUCUUUUGCCGAUAUGGGUUUAUUACUAAGUGAUGGUGUGAGCAAAACUGGAGGUGCUUUCAUAUUGACAAACCCAGGACAGCUGCACUUUUAUGAUGAUGCUU